rnacentral:lncRNA from 1 species
AUGGUGUGGAUGAACCGCUUGGCACAGAGUGACCUUCUCAGUGAGACUUCUUUGGCGUGUGUGUGCGCUCAGUCGUGUCCAGCCCUUUGUGGUCCCGUGGACUGCAGCCCACCAGGCUUCUCUGUGCAUGGGAUUCUCCAGGCAAGAAUACUGGAGUGGGUGCCAUGCCCUCCUCCAGGGGACCUUCCCUACCCAGGGAUGGAACCUGCGUCUCCUGCAUCUCUUGCCUUCGCAGGCAGAUUCAUUACCGCUAGAGCCACCUGGGAGGCCUUGUGCUCUAAACAUAUAUUUGAAAUCGCAUUAUUCAUCUUUUACUUUGCUUCCUGUCUUAUCUCACAGAAGCAGAAACUGCCAAGAGAUCAAGCAGGCAUUCAUGAGUGCAUUCAUUUCCAAGGAUCCCUGCAAAGCGACAAAGGAAGACUACAGACGACUGAUCGACCUGGCAGAUCCCACUGUGCCUUGCAACAAGAGAGUCUUAUGGAGCAAAACAAAGGAGCUGGCUCGUGAAUACGCGAAACUGCGGGGCCUGGUGACCCUGGAGGACACGCUGCUGGGUUUCCUUGCGGACCGCCUCCACUGGUGUGGAGAGCCAGGCUCUCCUGAUUUGAACACGUGGUCUUGUCCAGACUGGAAGAAAGACUGCAGAACGAACUAUCGUUCUGUAUUUUGGGAAGCGCUGUCCGAAAGGUUUGCAGAAAGUGCCUGUGGUACAGUCCAGGUGUUGCUCAACGGGUCACUCGAGAACGCCUUUGAUGAAAUGAGCACAUUUGGACGAGUGGAAGCCCCUAACUUGAAGCCAAUGGUUACACUACAGGCUUGGCUGGUACAUGACCAUGGAAAUCUUUGCCGUGACACAUGCUCUGGCUCCUCUAUAAAGAAACUGAAGUCGAUCUUAAGAAGAUAUGUCAGAUUUACCUGCAAGGAUGUCAGGUAACUGAUGCUUUCGCACCACAUGCAGACGCUCUUCCCUUGGGCCUUGACGGCGGUCUGGGUAGUGACCUUCAGUGAACUUCGCCCCUCUCCCAGCUUAGCCUGGAAGCCAUUUCCAGCCAGUGGCCUUCUGAUGUCCACUCCCCUGCCCUGUUCCUCGUCCUUCCCCACGCAAAUCACUCUAGCAGUGAUUUGCUUCUAAAGGUGACCCAGGUUUGAGGGCAUCUUUCCUGCUUUCCCAUGUGACAGGCGUGAUCCAGAGCUCCUGACUUUCAGGGGUGUAGAAGCAUAUUUCCCAAAAGCAAAGGAUUUAUAAAGGCCUUGUGACUUGCCAUAUCUUACAGGUGAGGCUUCUUUGGUUGGGUCUCAGUUGCAGAUGUCUAACAUUUCCUGGCUUACACACAGACACAAACAGCUCAGCUCACACCCAGGUCAGCUCCCUGGGUGCCUAGCUCCUCUAGAAACCAACACUCAGAUCUCCUCAGGAGGGCUUUAAGCAGACACGCACAACAGACAGGAGGCCUGACUUCAAGCCUCCACAUUUAUUCUCCUUAAAGCCCACCACCCUUUCCGGGCUUCCAUCCAUCAUUUAUAACACUGGAAUGGACUGGGUGAUUUCUAAGACUUCCUAGCUUGGCCUCCCUGACCCUUGAUUUAGAGGGUAGAGGGUAGAGCAGCAACUGCAGCCAUAAUCUCAUAUCAUAAAGAGCAAGCUUUAUGGUUUUCUAAUUUUAAAAUGUAGACUCUUAAAACUGUUUACCCGUAACACAUAUUUAUUGGAGAAAAGUUUAAAUUACAUAUAUAUAUAUUUUUUUUUUCUGAUUUUCAAAAAUUUUAGUUAUUUGUUUAUUUUUGACCAUGCUGGUAUUCAUUGCUGUGUGAGCUUGUCUUGAGCUGUGGUGAGCGGGCUUCACGCGGUAGUAGCUUCUCUUGCUGUGGCUCCCAGGCUCUAGGAUGUGCAGGGCUCAGUAGUUGGUGGCAUGAGGGCUUAUUUGCUCCACGGCAUGUGGGAUCUUCCCAGACCUGGGAUCGAACCCAUGUCCCCUGCAUUGGCAAGUGGAUUCUUAUCCACUGUACCACCAGGGAAGCCCCGAGUAUAUGUUUUUUAAAAUCACCUACAACUCUGUUAUCAUAACUGAGACCUCUCACUAUUUUUAAGAUGUGUGGUCAAUAUUUAACUCCAGGCAGAGAUCUGUGCCAAAAGCAUCUUUGGAAAUUUUCCCAUAUAUGACAGAUAGAUAUGGGACAGACAGUUCCCAUAAAAUAGAUGCAGAGAAAAACACUUUCUCAAAGAAUGUCAAAGCUGAAAUGCUUCCCAUCACUUCCCUGCCACCACCCUUUCCCCCCAACCGUGUCAGAAAGGCAGGGGGACAGAUUCAAGGAACAUUCGCUGAAGGCUUUGUCUCUCCAAUGACCUGAAUUCCCCAUCAGCCAGCUAGCUUCUCUCUGGAAACUGCCAGAGAAUAACACAAGCUUUCUGUUGCAAUUCUAUGGGACACCCAUAGAAGAGAGAUGGCAGACAUCUGACCAGUCCAAGUUACUCAAAGGUCUUUUGCAUUGAGAGAAUGGAAUACGAAAACCUGGGGCAAGAUUAGAGAAUGUUAAGUGAAUCAUUCACAAAACGCUUUUAUCUCUUUCCUUACAUUAACCAUUCACUUUUUUUUUUUUUUCAUGAAUGGCCCAAACUGUAGGUUCUGGGUGAGCUCACUCAUCCUUCACCUUACAAAAAAUAAUUAGGUAUACCUUCCCACCUGGACUUGUGGAGUGACCUACAUAGGAGGCCAGCACCUGUCUCUCAAGCAUCAGUUCAUGUGACCUUAAACUUGGGGACCAUAUUUGAAAUCACUGCUGGUUUGCUCCAACCAUGAGAUCAUGAUAUAUUCAGCAUAACCAGACCCUCAGGGUCCCCUGUUGUAUCUAACAGUUCCCUAUUGUAUCGAACUGUUGUAUCUAACAAUUUGAUGACUUUGCAAGAAACUUGCUUGUCUCUAGGGGAGCUCAAAGUGAACGUCAUGGAUAUAGGUAUCGACUGUAGACUCCUUCCACAGAAUUAUUUCCUUGAGGGUGAGGAUACUUUUCCCACCUAGAAUGUAUUCAUGUGGGUUUCUGGGUGGCGCUAGUGAUAAAGAACCCACCUACCAGUGCAAGAGACAUAAGAGAUGAGGGUCCAACCCCUGGGUCAGGAAGAUCCCCUGGAGUAGGAAAUGGCAACUCACUCCAGUAUGGAAUAUUCCAGACAAGAAUGGAUAGAGGAGUCUGGCAGGCUAUAAGACAUGGGUCUCAAAGAGUCAGACACAACUGAGAGUGCACACACACACACACACACACACACAUGUAUUCACGUAGGGGAUCCCAGAUCACAAUGUUGAUGAGGAUGGAUGGCUCUUCUUAAAGCCAAUGUGCCCAGCUGGUCACGACAGAGGGCUAGAGAUGAGCCUGAGAUGGUCCAUCCUAGAAGCCCAGGGUUGCUGCUAGCUACUUCUAAGUCUCUCUCUCUCUCUUGACUCACAUUUAACAAAAUCAGAUUUGACUGCAAUUAAAGGAACCACUUUACCCCCACUAGACAACCCCCUCCACUAUGUGCCAGCCACUCCCAUUGAACUCUGUUGCUUUGUGAUUUGAUUUUUAUGAAAACUAGAGUCAUUCACCUGCUGAUACUAUAGGAGGUAUUCUGUGCAAAAAAUCGGAGUCCUCUCACUGACGGCAACCAGCCCUCUUCUAGAGAGUCUGUGACCUCUUGCUGCCUGAUGCUUUGACCCAAUACUUCCUCAGGAAGUUUUUGAAGAGAGAAAACCAAUCCUCAAUGGAAAAUAUGGGGUCUCUCCUCUUUGGUUGCUGUUUCUGCUGUUUCUUGACAUCAGCGGAGGUUCACAGCAGCUCUCUGUGACAUGUGUGAGCCAGACAUUCGUUCCUGUCUCCACAUACCAUCAAACAUCAGUUAUCUAUUGCUACGGCUUUGCACAUGAAAUGAAGCUACACUGGGCUGUGGUUUCAGUCCUUCAUUCUUGGACUUGACCUUUCUCGGCAUUGUCACUGCCGCAGAAGAAACUUGUGUGGUGCAAAGUGGUCCAUGCAUACUUUUGCUAUUAAUGAAGCCCUUCUUUCAUUGGCAAGUUGACCAGGGGGUGUAUUGUACUGCCUCUUGAUCUUUUUUCUUUCUCAUCAUAGCCGGGACGAGUUUCUUGGAAGAUUAUGAGGAUUUAUCUUGCGGAUGAGUCAAUCAGCAUGGUUGAGCCCUGGCUGUACAGAUCAACACACACGAUUCAGGAGACAUGCUGGUGGAAAGUUGGGACUUUGGCGGGAAACUUUUGUCAUAAAAUUAACACCAGAGAUGGAAACCUUUUCCUCCAGGAUCUUAAAAUAACUUAUGCUAUUGACAUAGUUUUUUAUCUUGAUCUAAUAGUCAAGAAAAAUUAAUUAUAAUAUAAAGUUAGAGUAGAAAUUUUAUACAGUUUUGUAUUUCAUUUUUCAUAUGAUUCUUUUAUAUUGCUAAUAUGUUGGUAACAUCCUCUCUGUUGAAGAAUGAGCUCUCCAAACCUAUUGGCCGGUCAAGAAAAAUAAAUGCCCAGACUUUUCAGCA